rnacentral:tRNA from 1 species
AAGUAAGAAGCGAAAAUUUCGCAUUUAAUUUCGACUUAAAAAUUUGAUAUAUAUUAUCCUUACUUU